rnacentral:rRNA from 1 species
GAUGAACGCUGGCGGCGUGCUUAACACAUGCAAGUCGAACGAACCUUCGGGUUAGUGGCGGACGGGUGAGUAACGCGUGAGAAUCUGCCCUCAGGAGGGGGAUAACGGCUGGAAACGGCCGCUAAUACCCCAUAUGCCGAGAGGUGAAACGAAUUUCGCCUGAGGAUGAGCUCGCGUCUGAUUAGCUAGUUGGUGGGGUAAAGGCCUACCAAGGCAUCGAUCAGUAGCUGGUCUGAGAGGAUGAUCAGCCACACUGGGACUGAGACACGGCCCAGACUCCUACGGGAGGCAGCAGUGGGGAAUUUUCCGCAAUGGGCGCAAGCCUGACGGAGCAACGCCGCGUGAGGGAUGAAGGCCUCUGGGCUGUAAACCUCUUUUAUCAAGGAAGAAGAUCUGACGGUACUUGAUGAAUAAGCCACGGCUAAUUCCGUGCCAGCAGCCGCCGUAACAC